GUAGGAGGCAAGCGUUAUCCGGAUUCACUGGGCGUAAAGCGCGUGCAGGCGGUUCGGUAAGUUGGGCGUGAAAUCUCCUGGCUCAACUGGGAGAGGUCGUUCAAUACUACCGGGCUAGAGAGUGGUAGAGGAAGAUGGAAUUCCCGGUGUAGUGGUGAAAUGCGUAGAUAUCGGGAGGAACACCAGUGGCGAAGGCGAUCUUCUGGACCAUUUCUGACGCUCAGACGCGACAGCUAGGGUAGCAAACGGGAUUAGAGACCCCGGUAGUCCUAGCCGUAAACGAUGUGAACUUGGCGUCGGUGGGUUAAACUCCAUCGGUGCCGAAGCUAACGCGAUAAGUUCACCGCCUGGGGACUACGGCCGCAAGGUUA
rnacentral:rRNA from 1 species